rnacentral:lncRNA from 1 species
CAUAAAGAUUGCUUCCAGGGCUGUAAAGCUAAAUAAGCUUCUAAAUUACCAGCUAUAUUGAUCCUAGUACUCAGUUUUAAUGUUGACAUAAAACAAACAAAGAUGGGCUUCUUUUUUUAGGCUUUUAUCUUCGGAAUACAGUAUCUGGAUUUUGCAAAGAUAAGUCUAAUGCUUUAGGUAUUGGCAUAUCCCAAUGAUCUGUGUCAAGUUUUAGGGUGGGAUAACUUAGGAAUUAAUAUGAUUUGAACUUGGUAAGUUUUUGGUAAGUAGAAUAUUUAAUUUCUAUUCAAAUAGGAUUCAGAAGUUC